rnacentral:lncRNA from 1 species
UGUUGGUGGCGUAACAACAGGUGGCGGUGGGCACGGUGAUGGCGGUGGCGGUGGGCACGGUGAUGGCGGCGUUACGACGGGUGGAGGCGUAUGAGUGGGUGGUUUAGGGGUGGACGGAGGUGGUUUAACAGUGGGCGGUUUCGUGGGUGGUUUCGGGGUAGACGGAGGAGGUUUAACGGUGGGCGGUUUCGUGGGUGGUUUCGGGGUGGACGGAGGUGGUUUAACGGUGGGCGGUUUCGUGGGUGGUUUCGGGGUGGGAUGAGGUUUGGUAGGGGGUUUCGGAUGUGGGUGUGGUUUGACAGUGGGCGGUUUGGUAGGGGGUUUAGGGUGUGGGUGUGGUUUGACGGUGGGUGGUUUGGGAGGUUUUACUGCCGGUGGUUUAGGCGGUUUGCUAGGAUGUUUAGGCGGUUUGUGGGGGUGAG